rnacentral:rRNA from 1 species
AACGAACGCUGGCGGCAGGCUUAACACAUGCAAGUCGAGCGCCCCGCAAGGGGAGCGGCAGACGGGUGAGUAACGCGUGGGAAUCUACCCAUCACUACGGAACAACUCCGGGAAACUGGAGCUAAUACCGUAUACGUCCUUCGGGAGAAAGAUUUAUCGGUGAUGGAUGAGCCCGCGUUGGAUUAGCUAGUUGGUGGGAUAGUGGCCUACCAAGGCGACGAUCCAUAGCUGGUCUGAGAGGAUGAUCAGCCACACUGGGACUGAGACACGGCCCAGACUCCUACGGGAGGCAGCAGUGGGGAAUAUUGGACAAUGGGCGAAAGUCUGAUCCAGCCAUGCCGCGUGAGUGAUGACGGCCCUAGGGUUGUAAAGCUCUUUCGCAGGUGAAGAUAAUGACGGUAACCUGAGAAGAAGCCCCGGCUAACUUCGUGCCAGCCGCCGCCGUAA